UACGAAGGGUGGCAAGCGUUACUCGGAAUUACUGGGCGUAAAGCGUGCGUAGGUGGUUUGUUAAGUCUGAUGUGAAAGCCUGGGCUCAACCUGGGAAUGCAUUGGAUACUGGCAGGCUAGAGUGCGGUAGAGGGUAGUGGAAUUCCCGGUGUAGCAGUGAAAUGCGUAGAUAUCGGGAGGAACACCCGUGGCUAAGGCGGCUCUCUGAGUACGGUACUGACGGCUGAGACGCGAAAGCGUGGGGAGCGAACGAGG
rnacentral:rRNA from 1 species